GUCCUUACUGUGAGAAUCAGUGACAAACAUGUGGGGCUUAUAUCUUAGAUGUCCAUCUAAUUCAUGCUGUAGUUAGACAAGGCAACCAUCAAGUAUUAGUGCAGACGUUAAAACCAUGU
rnacentral:ribozyme from 1 species